AUGGGUAUUAUGUUGACAUUUGAUCAAGUCUGAACAUUUUGGCACUGUGCUUCUUAACCCCACUGCGUCCAGCUUCAGCAGAGGUCAUUUUUCCGGCAGCUUCAACAUUCCCUUCAGCACAGCUUUCAGCUCUGAUGGAGAACUGAUACAGUGUCCUGCAACAGGAAUUCUUCACAACUUCAGAGGAUGUGUUAUUGUGGUGAUCAGCCACGCCAUGAAGAGUGCUGCUAUGUUUGCAGCACACCUGGUCAAAGUAAAUUUCCCACGGGUUUGUAUCCUGGAUGGAGGGAUCAACAAAUUGAAGCCAACUGGACUCCUGACUGUCCCCUCCCCUCAAAUCUGACUCCCAACCUUAGCUGUCGAAUUCAGCUUUGAAGUAACAAAAAGGAACUGCAGAAAUCACCCCUGACCUGAAUGUUCUGUACCGUCAUUGACAUGUGUCCUUACAUAUUAAAGACUCUGCUUCAUAAAGACAGGAUAGAAGUUGCAACAAUAACAUCUUCUUGUGCACAACCGAACCCUUUGUAUUUUUGUGCCAACAUGUUUGAUUAAUUUAUUUUUACCUCUUAGAAAUGCCUGAAUCAGUCGUUGUUGAAUAAGCUAAUAAUUAUAUGUUGUUGUGGCCUCAGUGAUAAAUACAGGUGCCUGUGACAAAAAGUUGGAUAUACCAU